rnacentral:rRNA from 1 species
CUUAACUGGGCGUUAAGUUGCAGGGUAUAGACCCGAAACCCGGUGAUCUAGCCAUGGGCAGGUUGAAGGUUGGGUAACACUAACUGGAGGACCGAACCGACUAAUGUUGAAAAAUUAGCGGAUGACUUGUGGCUGGGGGGGAAAGGCCAAUCAAACCGGGAGAUAGCUGGUUCUCCCCGAAAGCUAUUUAGGUAGCGCCUCGUGAAUUCAUCUCCGGGGGUAGAGCACUGUUUCGGCAAGGGGGUCAUCCCGACUUACCAACCCGAUGCAAACUGCGAAUACCGGAGAAUGUUAUCACGGGAGACACACGGCGGGUGCUAACGUCCGUCGUGAAGAGGGAAACAACCCAGACCGCCAGCUAAGGUCCCAAAGUCAUGGUUAAGUGGGAAACGAUGUGGGAAGGCCCAGACAGCCAGGAUGUUGGCUUAGAAGCAGCCAUCAUUUAAAGAAAGCGUAAUAGCUCACUGGUCGAGUCGGCCUGCGCGGAAGAUGUAACGGGGCUAAACCAUGCACCGAAGCUGCGGCAGCGACGCUGAUGCGUUGUUGGGUAGGGGAGCGUUCUGUAAGCCUGCGAAGGUGUGCUGUGAGGCAUGCUGGAGGUAUCAGAAGUGCGAAUGCUGACAUAAGUAACGAUAAAGCGGGUGAAAAGCCCGCUCGCCGGAAGACCAAGGGUUCCUGUCCAACGUUAAUCGGGGCAGGGUGAGUCGACCCCUAAGGCGAGGCCGAAAGGCGUAGUCGAUGGGAAACAGGUUAAUAUUCCUGUACUUGGUGUUACUGCGAAGGGGGGACGGAGAAGGCUAUGUUGGCCGGGCGAUGGUUGUCCCGGUUUAAGCGUGUAGGCUGGUUUUCCAGGCAAAUCCGGAAAAUCAAGGCUGAGGCGUGAUGACGAGGCACUACGGUGCUGAAGCAACAAAUGCCC